GUCAGGCUGUCUGAUCUCAGAGGAAGGCUGUGCUUCUCUGGUCUCAGCUCUGAGCUCCAACCCCUCCCACCUGAGAGAGCUGGACCUGAGCUACAACCAUCCAGGAGAGUCAGCAGUGAAGCUUUUGUCUGCUGGACUGAAGGAUCCCCGCUGGAGACUGGACACUCUCAGGGUGGAGCCUGCUGGACAACGAUGGUUGACACCAGGAGGUCUGAGGAAGUAUUCCUGUCAACUCACCAUCGACACAAACACAGUCAACAACUACAUCAAACUGUCUGAAAACAACAGGAAGAUGACACGUGUCGAG